GGAUAGUCCAAGGGAUAGGUCAGUGCAUCUGGCUGCUAACCAGAAGGUUGGUGGUUUGAGCCCACCAAGGGAUG